UCUGAAUCUGCGAACGGCUCCGCAAACCAGUUGUAAACUAUAGCAAGCAAUCCUGCGGGCGGCUUCGGCUGCUCGUGGGUAACAUGGAUAACCCUGGUAAUUCUGAGGCUAAUACAAGAACGUACUUCCUGGCUGACCGGCAACGGAAGGCUGGGGAGCGUGCAACGUAUCGUAGGGAUAAACCGGGAAUGGGUGCACGCUUGGACCGCGCUAAAGACAGAUCUCGGCGAGCCUUCGGGUGAGCCUUGGCCUGAGCGGCUCUUGCUGUGUGCUUCUGACCUAUCAACUAGACGGCAGCGUAAGGGACAUGCUAUGGU
rnacentral:rRNA from 1 species